UACGUAGGGUGCGAGCGUUGUCCGGAAUUAUUGGGCGUAAAGAGCGUGUAGGCGGUCCGGUAAGUCGGCUGUGAAAGUCCAGGGCUCAACCCUGGGAUGCCGGUCGAUACUGCCCGGACUAGAGUUCGGAAGAGGCGAGUGGAAUUCCCGGUGUAGCGGUGAAAUGCGCAGAUAUCGGGGAGGAACACCUAUGGCGAAGGCAGCUCGCUGGGACGUUACUGACGCUGAGACGCGAAAGCGUGGGGAGCAAACAGG
rnacentral:rRNA from 1 species